GACGAAAACUGUGAACAAGAGCCU
rnacentral:siRNA from 1 species